rnacentral:tRNA from 1 species
GGAGAGGUGGGUGAGAGGCUGAAACCAGUGGUUUGCUAAACCAUCGUACUGGGAAACCGGUACCGCGGGUUCGAAUCCCGCCCUCUCCGCCA